rnacentral:rRNA from 1 species
GACGAACGCUGGCGGCGUGCUUAACACAUGCAAGUCGAACGGAAAGGCCCUGCUUUUGUGGGGUGCUCGAGUGGCGAACGGGUGAGUAACACGUGAGUAACCUGCCCUUGACUUUGGGAUAACUUCAGGAAACUGGGGCUAAUACCGGAUAGGAGCUCCUGCUGCAUGGUGGGGGUUGGAAAGUUUCGGGGGUUGGGGAUGGACUCGCGGGUUAUCAGCUUGUUGUUGGGGUAGUGGCUUACCAAGGCUUUGACGGGUAGCCGGGCCGGGAGGGUGACCGGCCACAAUGGGGCCGAGGUAAGGCACAAGCACCCAAGGGGAGGAAGAGGGGGGAAGAAUGGACAAGGGGCGGAAGGCGUGUGCAGAAACAGCGCGGGGGGGAAGGAGGGCUUCGGGGUGUAAAACGCUUUUGGCCAAGACAGAAACUUGAGUGAAGGUAGUGGGUAAAGAAGCACCGGCUAACUACGUG